CUCCUACGGGAGGCAGCAGUGAGGAAUAUUGGUCAAUGGACGAGAGUCUGAACCAGCCAAGUAGCGUGAAGGAUGACUGCCCUAUGGGUUGUAAACUUCUUUUAUAUGGGAAUAAAGUUUUCCACGUGUGGAAUUUUGUAUGUACCAUAUGAAUAAGGAUCGGCUAACUCCGUGCCAGCAGCCGCGGUAAUACGGAGGAUCCGAGCGUUAUCCGGAUUUAUUGGGUUUAAAGGGAGCGUAGGUGGACAGUUAAGUCAGUUGUGAAAGUUUGCGGCUCAACCGUAAAAUUGCAGUUGAUACUGGCUGUCUUGAGUACAGUAGAGGUGGGCGGAAUUCGUGGUGUAGCGGUGAAAUGCUUAGAUAUCACGAAGAACUCCGAUUGCGAAGGCAGCUCACUGGACUGCAACUGACACUGAUGCUCGAAAGUGUGGGUAUCAAACAGGAUUAGAUACCCUGGUAGUCCACACAGUAAACGAUGAAUACUCGCUGUUUGCGAUAUACAGUAAGCGGCCAAGCGAAAGCAUUAAGUAUUCCACCUGGGGAGUACGCCGGCAACGGUGAAACUCAAAGGAAUUGACGGGGGCCCGCACAAGCGGAGGAACAUGUGGUUUAAUUCGAUGAUACGCGAGGAACCUUACCCGGGCUUAAAUUGCAAAUGAAUAAUCUGGAAACAGGUUAGCCGCAAGGCAUUUGUGAAGGUGCUGCAUGGUUGUCGUCAGCUCGUGCCGUGAGGUGUCGGCUUAAGUGCCAUAACGAGCGCAACCCUUAUCUUUAGUUACUAACAGGUCAUGCUGAGGACUCUAGAGAGACUGCCGUCGUAAGAUGUGAGGAAGGUGGGGAUGACGUCAAAUCAGCACGGCCCUUACGUCCGGGGCUACACACGUGUUACAAUGGGGGGUACAGAAGGCAGCUACCUGGUGACAGGAUGCUAAUCCCAAAAGCCUCUCUCAGUUCGGAUCGAAGUCUGCAACCCGACUUCGUGAAGCUGGAUUCGCUAGUAAUCGCGCAUCAGCCAUGGCGCGGUGAAUACGUUCCCGGGCCUUGUACACACCGC
rnacentral:rRNA from 1 species